UCCACCUGCACUCAGUCACAUGGCUGCACCUGACUGCAGAGGAUGCUGGGAGAGGUGGAAGGAGGAAGAGGAAAGGGGGUGGUGAACAGCCAGCCGAUCGCCCCCGCACACGGAGGCCCCGAGGUUGCCUGCGCGACACCGUUAGGCAUCCCCGGCGGACGGAGGUCGCUGGGAUCCGCUGGGUGAACACGCCAACCUCACUGCAGCGCCCCCUGCGCCACGCUGCCUGGAAUUGCGCCUGGAACAGCGCAGCGUGGGAAGCCCACUCCUCCCCUCGCUCAGCAAACCCCGGCAGCAGCGCCUGAGAAGACGUGCGUCCCGCCCCCCACACCACCCCCCGGGGUGGGGGGGGCUUUCCGUGUCCCUGGAACCAACAGACCCGGGAAGAAACUGCAGAACGGGGAGCGGUGUCAGAAAUGCACCCAGCGCCCCCGUGCCGCAGGGAGUCGCCUCAGAGCCGCGGCUCAAGGCCCACGGCGGAGGAGGCCACUCGAGAAAGAUCUCCACAAAGCUCGAGAAAGAUCUGCCCGCGGCUCCGCCCCUCACCGCUGCCGGCCCGGCCCGCCCCGCCUCUCCGCAGGAACCGGGUUCUCUGCGCUGCAGAUUUCGUGCAGCGCUCCCUCCCCUGGGCUGGCCGCCCGCAGAGGGACCCGGCCACCAAGGUGACUUAGCGGCAGAAAUUGGUGCUCCUGGAGUUCUGUGAGCUGCUUCCAGAUGACCAGUGAAAGGCACGUGUCUGAGACAGAAGGGGUGCGCGAGCCUGACCAGAGGAGAUCGGGUUCCAUCCGAGGAGGCACAGACCCUCUUCAGCAGGUGAAAGACUGAAUCAGAACCCGCAGUCUGGCUUACGGUGCCCAUCAGCCGAGACGACCGUGGGAUACAGGGCACCAGAAACACCGCAGGAAUGCUCACAACCAAGCGAAGUGGGACGCCAGGUGCCCCGCCGGAGCAGAUGUGAAGUGUGGGCGCGGCAAAGUCCGCGAGGGCAGCGCCGAGGGCCCACGCCGCUCGUCAGGGCGCCGGAGCGUUUGGGGGCUUGGCCAACGCCGCGGGAGUGACGGCACCUGCCGGGCCGCGGGUGCCGGGAACCAGGGAGAAGCCAACUACCGAAGACAGCGACAGUGUGCGAGGACCCGCGCCACCUACCGAAGCGCCUGGGGCCGGCAAGGGCCGCCUCGCGUCGCAUACGGGCGGUGCUGGAGGCGGCGAGGACACCGGACCUGCACACACUUGCCGAGUCUCACGGGAAUCCACCACUUGGACCACUUUUUAUUGAUAAACAGGUACACACGUUAAAAGCCUCACACCGAAGCCGGACACACGCGCCCACCGCGGACAACGGAUGUGCAGACACAGUGCGACUCCUGGCGGCUCGCCGCGUCUGGGCCCCUGGGGCCUGUCCCUCUGGUGGGGACACAGCCCCUGCCCCGGGGCUCUCAGUCCGUCUCCGGGACAUGACAUCCCUCUGCUUUGCUCGCCCGGCUACAGCUGCAUGUCUCGGGUAGGUCCCCGGUGGAUCUGCGUCAGCAGGGGCAGAAGCCUGACUAGGACAGGGUGCGGGUUCGUUAAAACCCAAACCCAAACCCAAACAGCUCAUGGGUGAACGGAAAGGCGUAGAAGCCGGGAGGGGAACACCGGCUCUCGUCAGUGUGCAGGCAGGCUUGGAGGAGAGCCUCGGGCUUUGUCAAGGACCGCUUCGUCCGGAGUCCCGCAAAACAGGUUACAGACCGGGCAAGUUUAAGGCGAGUCCCCACGGAGGGGAGCUGUUUGCUUUCUGAUGGAAGUUUAAGCUCUGCACCAAAGGUCCUACUGGAUCGCUUGGGACGUGGGUGGAAAAACAAACAUGAACGACACAAAAAAUAAAGCUGUUGCCGUCCUGAAUACUCUGCGAGUGACUGAGGCUCGGGGUCCCGGGGCUCUGUCUUGGGGUCCCCUCACGUCCUCCGUGCCGCCCGUGUCUCUCUGUGAGUGUCUGUGGCCAUGCCCGCCCCCCUCCACCCCCGGCAGCAGCAUGCGGCCACACGGCGUACCCGGCCGCCACGAGAC